GGAGGUCCCUGCCUCAGUCCAGGCAAGGCUGUGGCCUAGACGAGGUGGCGGGCUCGUGUGGAUGUGGAGAGAGUGCAACAAAGAAUCAGAAUGGCCACAUGAAGUAAUCCUAAGUGACACUAGCCUGAUGUAGAUCCCAUUCAAUGCAGUCCCUGCCUUCCAGGUGGCCUUUAGUGAGCCAGUGGCUCGGAUUUAUGUGGUCAGAUUCUGAGCCGGCAGACACAAGGACAAGCCAGCGAGAGGUGUGGCAGGACUGGAGAUUCUGUGUAGGUCUGUAUGUGAUGGGCUUUAUGAAAUGCAUCUAUUUAAUGUACUCCAAGCCAAUUCUAAAUGAAGCAUGAUGCAGCCAAAUAUGAAAGGAGCUCAUUAUUGAUACAUUUUAUGGACCGAAUUGUGUUCUCUGGAAAAGGUAGUUGAAGUCCCUUAAUAUGUGACCUUAUUUGGAGGAAUAGGAUCUUAAAGAAGUAAUCAAGUUAAAAUCACGUCAUUCAAGUGGGCUCUAAUCCAAUAUAACUGAUGUCUUUAUUAGAAGGUUAAAUUUGAACAGAGACAGAUGUGCAUAGAGAGAAGGUUGUGUGAAGAGACACAGGAAGGAGACGGCCAUCUAUUUGGAACAGAGCUUCCCUUAUAGACCUCAGAAGGAACCAACUCUGAUACCUUGGUUUUGGGCUUCCAGACUCCAGAACUGUGAGACAAUAAAUUCCUGUUAUUUAAGGCUCACCAGUCUGCGGGGCUUUGCCAUGGCAUCCUAAGAAAGUGAGCGUGAAACUUAAUUCAUCAGUACGGAAAACAUCUUGGCAGUUUAACCACUAUUGUAAUACUCAUGUAUUGAUACGUGUUUCAGAAUUUUUCUGCUCUCUUCCUCAGUAUGUAUGUACAGCAAAAGCUUCAGAGAGAAACUCCAGGCCAUGCAAACUCAUGAACUAAACUCUGGGAGAGGUGCUGGUGAUGACCUGGAAGGGAAAGAUGAGUGUUUGGCACAGGACGGGACCGACCGAAAGUGGUUGUGUGGGAGGGUUUGAUGGGGUGGCUGCUGGUUGUUGUUGGGAGAGGAGGGGCAGGUGGGUUCUCUCCUCUGGCAAGGCCACGGGUGUGGUCUGGCUUGGAGCAGGAUCCAGAGCCAUUGAACUCUGAGGAACUAUGAAGCUCCUGCUGCAGGUAGGAAAGAAAGAGAAGGUGAGAAGAUAGGAGGAAGCUUCCCAAUGCCCUAGACAGGUUGCAGGUGAGGGCACAGACCCCUGUGCAGAUGUGCUGGAGCUGCAGUGCAGUGGGAUGCCCGGGAACAUGGGGGGCUCCUGACUUAGUGCUGAGAUGCCUGGAAGUCAAAGGCACGUGGAGAUGGCGAGCUGCACGAUGAGAAGUGUGAUCUCCUCCUUCCAAACUGCAGAGAGACCUGGAUUACCCUGUCCCUGAUCCUUACUGGCUGUGGAAUCCAGAAAAAUUCUCCUAACCUGCAGUCUCAGUUUUCUCAUCUCAAAAAUGGGGUUAAUAUUAGUGUAUGUAUCACAUUAUGUUGUGAAGAUUAAAUGAAAUAAUGAACAUCUGGAGCAUAGUAAAUGCUCAAUAAAUGUAGGCUGAAUAAAAAAGAGAUCCCCAGACCAGCAUUAUACAA
rnacentral:lncRNA from 1 species